UGGGGAAUAUUGCACAAUGGGCGAAAGCCUGAUGCAGCGACGCCGCGUGCGGGAUGAAGGCCUUCGGGUUGUAAACCGCUUUUAAUUGGGAGCAAGCGAGAGUGAGUGUACCUUUUGAAUAAGCACCGGCUAACUACGUGCCAGCAGCCGCGGUAAUACGUAGGGUGCAAGCGUUAUCCGGAAUUAUUGGGCGUAAAGAGCUCGUAGGCGGUUUGUCACGCCUGGUGUGAAAGUCCAUCGCUUAACGGUGGAUCUGCGCCGGGUACGGGCAGGCUAGAGUGCAGUAGGGGAGAUUGGAAU
rnacentral:rRNA from 1 species